UACGUAGGGUGCGAGCGUUGUCCGGAAUUAUUGGGCGUAAAGGGCUCGUAGGCGGUUUGUCACGUCGGGAGUGAAAACUCAGGGCUUAACCCUGAGCCUGCUUCCGAUACGGGCAGACUAGAGGUAUGCAGGGGAGAAUGGAAUUCCUGGUGUAGCGGUGAAAUGCGUAGAUAUCAGGAGGAACACCGGUGGCGAAGGCGGCUACCUGGACAGAAACUGACGCUGAGGCGCGAAAGCUAGGGGAGCAAACAGG
rnacentral:rRNA from 1 species